CCACUGUACAGGUUAAUCUAGCACCAGCUAGCAUGACAAACAGGUACAUGAUCAGAUACAUGAGUAUGACAAUUAAUGCACUUACGUUGGGCAGAGCGCCUCUUAAAGAACAGCAGUGCAGCAAGGAGUCCAAUGAUCAGAGAGCCUAUGACUGCAACCGGGGCUAGCCAUUUGGUGGUGGAGACAAUAUCCAAGUGGUCACUUUUAAUACCUGGACAGACAAAAUGGACAGAAAUUAGGAGUUACAAAAUAAAUAGGCAAUUCAUAUGAAGUCAAGAGAAAAAGUGUCACGACUUCCGCCGAAGUCGGCCCUUCUCCUUGUUCGGGUGGUGUUCGGCGGUCGACGUCACCGGCUUUCUAGUCACUACCGAUCCAUUUUUCUGUUUCGUUUUGUUUCGUCUGAUUACAUACACACAUGUUUUACAUUCCCUCCUUCUGUUCUGUCCGUGAUUGUUUAUGUCGUUGUGUUCGUGUUAGAGUUUUGUUUUAUGUUCCAUUUUGGAAUUUUGCUUUAUUCUUUAAGUAAAUUCAGUUGGAUUACUCCAUACCUGCGCCUGACUCCGCUUUCACUCUGCACCCAAUCGCUGACAGAAUCACGGACCAUUCAAAUGGAAUCAGCAGGUACAGCCAGCCCUUCUCUCCCAGUAGAGGAGCGAGUUCAGCAGCACGCGACCAUGUUAAACCGGCUAGGGCCAGCCAUGGAUCGCAUGUUGUAAACUAUGGACAGAUGGGAGAGGAGGCUUUCCUGUCAACGCUACUACACCUCCACCCGCGCCUCAACCUACACCGAUGUCCACCCCUCUGUCGUCAAGUCCCCGUGGAAUUCAGGCUCUUGCUCACAGGAGCCAGGGUAUCCUACUCCAGCUGGAGCUCUACCUGGCAGCUCUUCAGCCGGCACCUUCCGGACGUGAGAGAGUGGGCGCUCUCAUCUCCUGCCUGACUGGAAAAGCCCUGGAGUGGGCCAACGCCAUCUGGGGAAGGGAAGGUCCGACUCUGGAUGACUAUGAGGACUUCUCCCUCCGCUUCCAUCUGGGGAAGAGAAGGACCGACUCUGGAUGACUAUGAGGUCUUCUCCCUCCGCUUCCAUCUGGGGAAGGGAAGGUCCGACUCUGGAUGACUAUGAGGACUUCUCCCUCCGCUUCCAUCUGGGGAAGGGAAGGUCCGACUCUGGAUGACUACAGGACUUCUCCCGCCGCUUCCAUCUGGGGAAGGGAAGGACCGACUCUGGAUGACUAUGAGGACUUCUCCCUUUGUUUCAUCUAAGAGUUUGUUUCAUCUAAGAAAGGAGAUGAGGAGCGCUCAAGAGUUCGCACUGGACUUCCGCACUGGACUCUGGCAGCUGGUGCGGGAUGGAAUGAGCGGGCCCUGAUCGACCACUACAGGUGUAGUUUACGUGAGGACGUUCGAAUGGAGCUAGCCUGCAGGGACACUACUCUCAACCUGGACCAGCUGGUGGACUUGUCUAUCCGGCUGGAUAACCUGUUGGCCUCCCGUGGACGUCUGGAUUGGGGUCCGCCCGUUCCAUUACCCAGCACAUUGGAUCCCACACCUAUGGAGCUACGAGGGGGACCGGAGGGGGGACCAUUCCCUGCACCAGCUGUGGCCGCAGAGGGCACACUGCUGGUCGGUGCUGAGGGGGUUCUCCAGGAGGUCGAGGUAGCAGGCGGAGCACUGGUGGGUCAUCCCAGGUGAGUAGGCACACAACUCACCCAAAGCCCCCUGUUGCACACAUGUGGUUACCUGUAGAAUUUCCUGAGUUCUCCCCACAUUCCCAGCAUAAGGAGCUAGUAGAUUCAGGCGCAGCUGGGAACUUUAUUGACCGCUCCUUAGCACAUAGAUUAGGGAUCCCUAUUGUUCCUGUUGAUGUUCCUUUCCCUGUACAUGCCUUAGAUAGUCGUCCUUUGGGGUCAGGGCUAAUUGGCGAGGGGAUUGUGCGAUAGAUCUCUUGGUAGAUGCUGCACAUCCCAGGAGUCAUGUGUAUCCUCUGUCACAGGAGGAGACGGUGGCUAUGGAGACAUAUGUCACCGAAUCUCUGGGACAGGGAUACAUUCAACCUUCCAUCUCACCUGUCUCCUCAAGUUUAUUUUUUGUGAAGGAUGGAGGUUUGCGCCUGUGUAUUGAUUAUCGAGGUUUAAAUAAGAUCACGGUAAAAUACAGUUACCAGCUAACGCUCAUAGCCAG
ensembl:lncRNA